CAGCCGUAAACAAUGUGCGUUAGGUAUGUCGGUAACCACGUGUUACUGAUGUGCCGAAGAGAAAUCGUGAAACGCACCACCUGGGAAGUACGGUCGCAAGGCUGAAACUUAAAGGAAUUGGCGGGGGGAGGCACCACAACAGGUGGAGCCUGCGGUUUAAUUGGAUUCAACGCCGGACAUCUCACCGGAUAAGACAGCUGAAUGAUUGUCAAUCUGAAGGUUUUACAUGACUAGCUGAGAGGAGGUGCAUGGCGUAGACGUCU
rnacentral:rRNA from 1 species